UACAGAGGUCCCAAGCGUUGUUCGGAUUCAUUGGGCGUAAAGAGCGCGCAGGCGGUCGUUCAAGUCGCGUGUGAAAGCCCCCGGCUCAACUGGGGAGGGUCACGCGAUACUGAUCGACUCGAAGGCAGGAGAGGGUAGUGGAAUUCCCGGUGUAGUGGUGAAAUGCGUAGAUAUCGGGAGGAACACCAGUGGCGAAGGCGACUACCUGGCCUGUUUCUUGACGCUGAGGCGCGAAAGCUAGGGGAGCAAACGGG
rnacentral:rRNA from 1 species